rnacentral:lncRNA from 1 species
UUUAAAAGAAAAGGGUACCCAAAUCUCCCACCAGAUGCUGUCGAUUAAUUCAUCAACAUAAACAAUGGCCGCUUCCAUUCACGUUGAAUGUUAUUGGUGUGUCUUGAAAAGGUUAUUUAUUUAUCUCCAUUUAUCUCCAUUGUGAAAAACUACGUGUAAAGUGCUAUAGUUCAUCAAAAAGGUGGAUUCAGACCAUCAGUUCAUCGUCUAGUGUACAAUUCAUAUCUUAUAGUAAUUUGUUCAAACGCCGUUUGAUGCUGAACACGUUUCCGUGGACAGGUCAUAUUCUUUAGGAAUGGAUUUUGUGCGAGGGAAACUGGGAAGAAAUUUAAAUUAUACUGCAACUCCUUCCUAUGAAAUGGAUCAACGGACCACAGUUACCAACAACAACAAAGGGAUCAGUUUGCAAAUGUUGUCUAGCUAAGCAGUUUUUCAAGAUCCAUUGAUGGUAAAAAAAUCACUAUUUGUUACUUCCCGGAGAUCACGAGUCGGCCGCAGGUGUCAAUCUACAACGCAGUUUCUUCAUUGAAAUUGUGUGGCCCUUGCACGGAGAUUCUUGAGCCAAUGCUAGCCUUUGUCCAUGACAGAAGAGUGACUUUCACCAACGUUCUGCCACAUCCUCAUCUUCGUGACGUACGCUCAUCCAGCUUCGCUGCUAGUGGUGCUGCUACUCGUGCUGCUACUCUUGCCACUACUCGUGCCACUACUCGUGCCACUACUCGUGCUACUACUCGUGCUACACAACUUUUCUCUACUUCAAUGACGAGUUAAACCACUUCAAUGGUCGCUUCCGUCCACCGUGACCCACCUGAAGUCACUCACCACGGGAUUAUGCCCAGGAGAAAACGUUGAAAGAGUCGUGCUGCUCACUGCUGUCGUUCAACCAUUUAUUUGUUCAAAAUCAUUGUAUUCUACUGAAGGUGCCAUCAAAAUGAAACAGGAUUCAUCAUAAUUGUCUGCUGUUUGUAUUGGACUUGCUAGAUCGCCAAUCCCAGCCAUGCCCCGAUUUUGAGUGUACACUACUAACUGUUUAAUUAUUUCUAGAUUAUAGACGUCAAGCACAUUGAUAACACAAACUAUAAACAAGAUUUGAUGAGAAGUCAUAUUUUGAAGAAAAUGGACAAGGGCCAUACAGUCAACAAGGUUCCUUGUUUGCUAACCCGUUGGCUGCUACCCUUCAAUCUCCCUGUUUACUUCCUUACACAGGUCCUAUUGAUUUGAGGGUAACUCUUUCACUACUGAUGACAUCAACUGUUGUAAACUGACGAGAGAAUGCUGCAAUUCAAGACUGAUACGUUGUGUAGUUGUUAGAUAAAUGACAAGUGCAUAUCUGGGCUCCCUUCUUUUCUGUGGCCCCGUUUCCCUAACUAACCAC